rnacentral:rRNA from 1 species
GAUGAACGCUGACAGAAUGCUUAACACAUGCAAGUCAACUUGAACUUCGGUCUGGGUGGCGGACGGGCGAGUCACGCGUAAAGAACUUGCCUCACAGAUAGGGACAACAUUUGGAAACGAAUGCUAAUACCUGAUAUUAUGAUUUUAGGGCAUCCUAGGAUUAUGAAAGCUAUAUGCGCUGUGAGAGAGCUUUGCGUCCCAUUAGCUAGUUGGAGAGGUAACGGCUCACCAAGGCGAUGAUGGGUAGCCGGCCUGAGAGGGUGAUCGGCCACAAGGGGACUGAGACACGGCCCUUACUCCUACGGGAGGCAGCAGUGGGGAAUAUUGGACAAUGGACCAAGAGUCUGAUCCAGCAAUUCUGUGUGCACGAUGAAGUUUUUCGGAAUGUAAAGUGCUUUCAGUUGGGAAGAAAAAAAUGACGGUACCAACAGAAGAAGUGACGGCUAAAUACGUG